UUUUAGGAUGAACCAAGCUCUGGGAUGGACCCUAAUGCUAAGAGGCAUCUAUGGAAAAUCAUCACUGAGGAAGUGCAGAACCAAUGUUCAGUGAUACUUACAUCACACAGCAUGGAGGAAUGUGAGGCUCUCUGCACACGAUUGGCUAUCAUGGUAAAUGGACGUUUCCAGUGCAUGGGUUCAUUGCAGCAUAUCAAGAGCAGAUUUGGAAAAGGAUUCACUGUGAAGCUGCAUUUGAAUAAUGAGCUAGAUAGCAUAGAGAAGCUGACACAAUUCUUGCAGUCAAACUUUCCGAACACACAUCUUAAGGUAAAUAU
rnacentral:lncRNA from 11 species